AUUGAACGCUGGCGGCAGGCCUAACACAUGCAAGUCGAGCGGAUGAAGGGAGCUUGCUCCUGGAUUCAGCGGCGGACGGGUGAGUAAUGCCUAGGAAUCUGCCUGGUAGUGGGGGAUAACGUCCGGAAACGGGCGCUAAUACCGCAUACGUCCUGAGGGAGAAAGUGGGGGAUCUUCGGACCUCACGCUAUCAGAUGAGCCUAGGUCGGAUUAGCUAGUUGGUGGGGUAAAGGCCUACCAAGGCGACGAUCCGUAACUGGUCUGAGAGGAUGAUCAGUCACACUGGAACUGAGACACGGUCCAGACUCCUACGGGAGGCAGCAGUGGGGAAUACUGGACAAUGGGCGAAAGCCUGAUCCAGCCAUGCCGCGUGUGUGAAGAAGGUCUUCGGAUUGUAAAGCACUUUAAGUUGGGAAGAAGGGCAGUAAGUUAAUACCUUGCUGUUUUGACGUUACCAACAGAAUAAGCACCGGCUAACUUCGUG
rnacentral:rRNA from 1 species